ACCUGGCUGGCUUAGUCGGUGGAGCAUGUGACUCUUGAUCUCAGAGGCAUGAGUUCAAACUCCAUGUUGGGAG
rnacentral:tRNA from 1 species